rnacentral:lncRNA from 1 species
ACAAGAACCUCGCCACCAACAAGUACGAAGCAGAGGCAAAAUUCAAGCAAAUCUCCGAAGCUUACGACGUUCUAAGCGACCCACAAAAGCGUCAGAUCUACGAUCUCUACGGCGAGGAGGCCUUGAAAUCGGGUCAAGUCCCACCACCUCCGCGUGGUGGACCCCACAACAUGCGAAAUCCCCAUCCUAACCCUACAUUCCGCUUUAAUCCUCGAGACGCCAAUGAUAUUUAUGCGGAAUUGUUCGGGUCCUCGUCGUCGGAGAAUAAUGGGCGGCCGAGGAAGUCUAGGGAUGCUUUUUUUAGGAGUACGGCGAAUGCUGGUGCUGAAUUUUCCGGUGCUGGAGCUGGGACCUCCGGCACCUGUGGAGGGUUGAGAAAGGCGGCGCCGGUGGAGAAUGCGUUGUUGUGUAGUUUGGAGGACUUGUAUAAAGGGGCUAAGAAAAAAAUGAAGAUUUCUAGGACUGUUGGCGAGGAGGCGUUGAAAUCGGGUCAAGUCCCACCAGCUCCGCGAGGUGGACCCCACAACAUGCGAAAUCCCCAUCCUAACCCUACAUUCCGCUUUAAUCCUCGAGACGCCGAUGAUAUUUAUGC